rnacentral:rRNA from 1 species
UACAGAGGUCCCAAGCGUUGUUCGGAUUCACUGGGCGUAAAGGGUGCGUAGGCGGUCGGGUAAGUCUGAUGUGAAAUCUCACAGCUUAACUGUGAAACUGCAUUGGAUACUAUUCGGCUUGAGAGUUGGAGGGGGGACUGGAAUUCUUGGUGUAGCAGUGAAAUGCGUAGAUAUCAGGAGGAACACCGGUGGUGUAAACGGCUUUCUGGACCAUAACUGACACUGAGGCACGAAAGCGUGGGUAGCAAACAGG